ACUCCGUGCCAGCAGCCGCGGUAAUACGGAGGGGGUUAGCGUUGUUCGGAAUUACUGGGCGUAAAGCGCGCGUAGGCGGACAUUUAAGUCAGAGGUGAAAUCCCAGGGCUCAACCCUGGAACUGCCUUUGAUACUGGGUGUCUUGAGUUCGAGAGAGGUGAGUGGAAUUCCGAGUGUAGAGGUGAAAUUCGUAGAUAUUCGGAGGAACACCAGUGGCGAAGGCGGCUCACUGGCUCGAUACUGACGCUGAGGUGCGAAAGUGUGGGGAGCAAACAGGAUUAGAUACCCUGGUAGUCCACGCCGUAAACGAUGAGUGCUAGAUGUCUCGGGUAUUGACCCCUGAGGUGUCGUAGCUAACGCGUUAAGCACUCCGCCUGGGAACUACGGCCGCAAGGCUAAAACUCAAAGGAAUUGACGGGGGC
rnacentral:rRNA from 15 species